rnacentral:lncRNA from 1 species
AUGCCUGAUGAUUCAGCCUGGUGUAUAGGAGCCUUAGCCGGAACAAACCAUGCGAAACGCAUGUUACUCGCGGCAUAAGUGGAACUAGAAACUAAGUUAAAAAUGUCAUGGUUAGGGUCCAUAUUCAUAGUUAUUAUAAAUGUACACGAUCCUAUACUCAAAAUCCCUUUUCCCUUCUUCAUUCCCCAGAGAAUUUUCCUCCGGCCAGAGAACCGGCUAUGACCAAACGUAGGGUUUGAUAUCUAGACAUUUCUCUCCUGAAUAUUAUCUGGCAACAAUCUGCUAGUUUUAAAAUUGCAUUAUUAUGAGUCAUUUUUUUUUUUUUUUUAAAUACUGAGUCUACCAAUUUUGUUUCAAACUAAUAUGGUGUUUUUUUUCGCUGCAGAGAAAUAUUUUGCGGAUUGUGUAUGGUUAAAAUGUGGAAUCUGUGUCGCAGUUAUAAAUAAGCAACUUCUGUGCUGAUUAAUUCCAGAAAAAUCAAAACUUCAUAUAGUUGGUGAAAUACCAUAUAUGGCGUGAUUGCAUAAAUUCAUAAAGCUUUAUCUUUAUAUGGCAAGAAAUCUUAUUUUUUCAGAACAUAACAAACUUAUUUAAUCAAGUAUUCCUGAAUAUCACACUAGAUGUUUUUGUUGUAUACUAUGUAUCAAUAUUUUUUAUAAACACAUUUAGACAAGAUAAUGAAAGCUGUGUGAUGCAUGCAACAACUCCUUUGAACUCUCCAACUUUGCAGGUUUGGCCCUGAAAACCUAACGUUUCCCAAGAUAGCAUGAAUAAGUGAUAGCUUCUUAAUGGUAGUUCCAAAGUGAGACUGUUACUUUCUACUUUGACUCAUUUUGUUCCUAUAGACAUCCCUGCAGAAAUAGAAUCAAUUCAGAGUUGGCAGAAAUUUUCGAAUGGAACAAAUUGGAAAGCCAUUUAUCUGUGUGAAAUUUACAUCCAUAACUCUUCAAAGGUUAACAUUUUUGUAAGCCAAACCAUUUUACAUUUGUGCCAAACACAAACAGCAUUGUAAGAUAUUAGGUGGUGGUGAUCACUUUGAUCUUGACACUGGUGAUUCUGAAAGCUAAAGAGAAGAAACGUGAAGCAGUGUUUGCUCAAGAGAGUUAGCACUGAGGAGAAGCACAAAGCUCUUUAUUCUUUAUCCCAUAAAUGUGGCUUCUUUUGAAUUUCGUUGAUAAAAUUGGCUUCUAUUUCCACCGUCCACGAUCGUACUCUUCCCGCCAUCGCCAUAUUGGAAGUUACCUGUGAUCUUUCAGAAGCAGAACUCUGAUUGGUUGACUCUACCCGGGACUUGAGACAUUUUUGGUCAGGUUUGAAAAAAUCCCUCGUAGCCACAACACUGCUUCCGUAGCUAGGUGGGACUUCGCUUCAGGCAUGGCUCUUUUUUCUAGGAAUCCGCCCGGUUAAAUCAUAGCCUCCAGAAUCUCGUUUCUCAGAAAAGUCCCUUCUAGCCAAGUGUGAUAAGGGUCUAAGAUAUUCAUGAAUCAUUUUAAAUUAUUACUAGCUAUUAAAGCCACAUAUCUUUAUGCUUGGUAGUUAAAUAGCUAUGAAAUGAUUAAAGUAGCAUAUUUGUACUUGGAAAAUUUAGGAAUUAUCUUACUGUGAAUCAAGCAACUUUGUGGAUCUCGAAUUUCUCCCAUGAGCAAAAUUUCAUUUGAAUAGUUUGAAAAUUCGAAACUUUUUCAUUAAAAAAUAUUUGGUAUUUAAUUUCAUUUAUAUUUUUGCUGAAAUGCAAUUGCAAUUCUGUAGCACAGUUAAGUAUUUCAUGACCGUAUGCAUACUGUAACUUCUAAGUACAUUAUAUUAAGCUCUGUCAGAAAUCUCAUAUGCAUAAAGUAUGUAAGAAGGCAUUUGCAAAAUAGGAUGUCUUAGGCUGCUAUCACACGUCAGUUUGUUUCGGAAGAACAACUGUUUUGGAACAAUUUUUCUGCUUUGUUUCGGCAGCCAAUCACCAAUGAUCGCUUUGGGGUUAACACAAGGGAAACUGGUUCCCCAUUACAAACAAGCUGAUAGCAUUCGAAGCUGAAAGCUGAUUGGUUGAAAACGAACAACUUGCAAUUUUUUUGGAAAGGAAGGAAAAAAUCGCACGUCUAUCUUUUCUAUAGUAAACCAGGCAGAAAAAUUGUUCGAAACAGUUGUUCGUGUGAAACAAACGCCGUGUGAUAUGGGCCUUAGGAAACAUGUUCCCUUGAAAGUAAAAAACACUUAUAUUAUAAAUGUUUGUUUAAAUAACUUCCUGUCCAUUCUUUAACCAGUUGCAGAAAAAAAGCAUGUUUUUUUUUUUUUUUUUUGUAAUUUUCGAAGUUAUGCACUUCCUUUUUAAUGAAGUGCAAAUGUCGAGAUGGGGGAUUUAUAGUAUUACUCUAUCUGUGGUUCUAAGCAUAUAUAUAAUAAUACUGAUAUCCUAAUAUAUAGUAUCAGUAUCUCUAUGGUACUCAAGUAUUACUUUAUCUAUUGUUUCAACCAUUUGUCAAUGCUGUUUUGUUUUAAAAACAUCUGUAAUUUCUUUAAAACGUCAUAGUUUUAAAAUUACCAUAGAUAAUCUUGGGUUAUUACAGGUUAGGAUAACAAACUGUUUCAACCACUUGUCAAGGAUGUUUUAAGAUGAAUAUCCGUAAUUUCUGUGUAAGUUGAGUUUCAAAAUAUGCUUUGUUAAAAAAAGUUAUGAUAGUGUAUAAUUUAGUUUUAAGAUUUUAGCAACUGCAUAUUUUUGUUGGUUAGUUAUUUUGCCUGUGCCUGAAGAAGAACAGUUUAGCUUACUUGGGUAAAUAAACGAAAAGCCAGGGACUUAAUCCGCUGUGAUGUUCCUGAGGUUCGCUGUAGCUGCUCCUAACAGUAGUUUCGAAUUUCCUUUCGAGAUAUUUUCAGUUUUUUGUUGAGAA